AAACCAACAGGGAUUGCCUUAGUAGCGGCGAGUGAAGCGGCAAAAGCUCAAAUUUGAAAUCUGGCGCCUUCGGUGUCCGAGUUGUAAUUUGAAGAUUGUAACCUUGGGGUUGGCUCUUGUCUAUGUUUCUUGGAACAGGACGUCACAGAGGGUGAGAAUCCCGUGCGAUGAGAUGCCCAAUUCUAUGUAAGGUGCUUUCGAAGAGUCGAGUUGUUUGGGAAUGCAGCUCUAAGUGGGUGGUAAAUUCCAUCUAAAGCUAAAUAUUGGCGAGAGACCGAUAGCGAACAAGUACAGUGAUGGAAAGAUGAAAAGAACUUUGAAAAGAGAGUGAAAAAGUACGUGAAAUUGUUGAAAGGGAAGGGUUUGAGAUCAGACUCGAUAUUUUGUGAGCCUUGCCUUCGUGGCGGGGUGACCCGCAGCUUAUCGGGCCAGCAUCGGUUUGGGCGGUAGGAUAAUGGCGUAGGAAUGUGACUUUACUUCGGUGAAGUGUUAUAGCCUGCGUUGAUGCUGCCUGCCUAGACCGAGGACUGCGAU
rnacentral:rRNA from 1 species